rnacentral:rRNA from 1 species
AUCGAACGCUGGCGGCAGGCUUAACACAUGCAAGUCGAGCGGGGUGAUGGUGCUUGCACUAUCACUUAGCGGCGGACGGGUGAGUAAUGCUUAGGAAUCUGCCUAUUAGUGGGGGACAACAUCUCGAAAGGGAUGCUAAUACCGCAUACGUCCUACGGGAGAAAGCAGGGGAUCUUUAUGACCUUGCGCUAAUAGAUGAGCCUAAGUCGGAUUAGCUAGUUGGUGGGGUAAAGGCCUACCAAGGCGACGAUCUGUAGCGGGUCUGAGAGGAUGAUCCGCCACACUGGGACUGAGACACGGCCCAGACUCCUACGGGAGGCAGCAGUGGGGAAUAUUGGACAAUGGGGGGAACCCUGAUCCAGCCAUGCCGCGUGUGUGAAGAAGGCCUUAUGGUUGUAAGGCACUUUAAGCGAGGAGGAGGCUCUUUUGGUUAAUACCCAGAAUGAGUGGACGUUACUCGCAGAAUAAGCACCGGCUAACUCUGUGCCAGCAGCCGCCGUAA